GAUCCGGUGGCCUAGUGGAUAGAGCAUCCGCCUCGGAUACUCGAGGUUGCAGGUUCGAACCCUGACCAAGUCA